AUUGAACGCUGGCGGCAGGCCUAACACAUGCAAGUCGAACGGUAACAGGAAGCAGCUUGCUGCUUUGCUGACGAGUGGCGGACGGGUGAGUAAUGUCUGGGAAACUGCCCGAUGGAGGGGGAUAACUACUGGAAACGGUAGCUAAUACCGCAUAACGUCGCAAGACCAAAGAGGGGGACCUUAGGGCCUCUUGCCAUCGGAUGUGCCCAGAUGGGAUUAGCUGUAGGUGGGGUAACGGCUCACCUAGGCGACGAUCCCUAGCUGGUCUGAGAGGAUGACCAGCCACGCUGGAACUGAGACACGGUCCAGACUCCUACGGGAGGCAGCAGUGGGGAAUAUUGCACAAUGGGCGCAAGCCUGAUGCAGCCAUGCCGCGUGUAUGAAGAAGGCCUUCGGGUUGUAAAGUACUUUCAGCGGGGAGGAAGGGAGUAAAGUUAAUACCUUUGCUCAUUGACGUUACCCGCAGAAGAAGCACCGGCUAACUCCG
rnacentral:rRNA from 1 species